CCCUUAGAUGUCCUGGGCCGCACGCGCGCUACACUGACAUGUUCAACAAGCCUCCUAGUUCGACAGGAUUUGGGAAAUCUUUGAACGCAUGUCGUGAUAGGGAUAGAUCAUUGCAAUUAUUGAUCUUGAACGAGGAAUCCCUAGUAAACGCGAGUCAUCAGCUCGCAUUGAUUACGUCCCUGCCCUUUGUACACACCGCCCGUCGCACCUACCGAUUGAAUGUUUCGGUGAAGAUUCCGGAUAGGACUUUUUUGAUUUAUUUCAAUUUUGUCUUAAAAGCUAUCUAAACCUCAACAUUUAGAGGAAGGUGAAGUCGUAACA
rnacentral:rRNA from 1 species